GACGAACGCUGGCGGCGUGCCUAAUACAUGCAAGUAGAACGCUGAAGGAGGAGCUUGCUUCUCUGGAUGAGUUGCGAACGGGUGAGUAACGCGUAGGUAACCUGCCUGGUAGCGGGGGAUAACUAUUGGAAACGAUAGCUAAUACCGCAUAAUAUUGACUAUUGCAUGAUAGUCAGUUGAAAGGUGCAACUGCACCACUACCAGAUGGACCUGCGUUGUAUUAGCUAGUUGGUGGGGUAACGGCUCACCAAGGCGACGAUACAUAGCCGACCUGAGAGGGGGGUCGGCCAACCUGGGACUGAGACACGGCCCAGACUCCUACGGGGAGCAGCAGUAGGGAAACUUCGGCAAUGGACGGAAGUCUGACCGAACAACGCCGCGGUAGGGAAGAAGGUUUUCGGAUCGUAAAGCUCUGUUGUAAGGGGAGAACGAGUGUUAGAGUAGAAAGCUCACACUGUGACGGUAUCUUACCAGAAAGGGACGGCUAACUACGUG
rnacentral:rRNA from 1 species